rnacentral:lncRNA from 1 species
CACGCGUAGUGAUUACGAAUGCGCGCUAAGAUAAGCUUCGAAUGAGCAAUGAAAUACGGCGCCUAUAAUCGUUGCGCUGAAUUUGCAACAUCGCUCAGAGGAAAACUACAGUGCAUGCCGAGUAACGUGACAGUUUUCCUUUAAGCCAUGACGACUAGAGACGUGGAUGCAUUGGUUGCACUCCUGUGGGAGUUACACCAUGCGAAACUACGGUACUUGACCACCACGGCAUUACCAGGCAACUUUAGCAUUAUCGCAGGGAGUACGAAGGGACAGGUCAUACGGAAAGUGCGCGACACUCUGGAAGGAAUGAGCCCGCUGUCGUACCGACUUCAUUGUGUGGCUAGGCUUUACUGCUGGCUUGCUGUGCUAGAGAACUGCUUGUCUCCUUGGGAGCUGUACCGUGUCAACCCGCUGAAUGUGAGUUUGAUGUACUUCAGCCUGCAUAGACGCAUAGCGAGAGUGCUAGGCAUGCAAGGUUAUCCGCAAGCGUACGUGCCAAUAGACGCCCGAGGUCGCCGCUACGCCUGCAUCAUUGUCCCGGACGUGAUUCCCACGACAGAGCACCGUGUCGUCUGUGUCUGCGUCUGGAAUAGACUGAAUUACGUGGCUAUCUGGGCAGCCGAGUCGAUGGACCGGCAAUAUCUUCGUUCGGCACUUGCUUCCGCGUUCUGCGGAAAUCCGGACGAAUUGCGGAUUGGUUCGUACCAGACCGUCGAGGUCGCGUAUACAGCAGCCUGCCACGAUGACACGGACCGACGGGCCCCGUCCUAAAAUCAGGAAGUCUCCCGUGCUAUGGCGUUGAGCAGCACGAGCUCCUGGAGGAUCCACACGUAUGCCAUUGUCAGAUGCUGUUUCCGCCGGGCACCAAGAUGGCGAUGGUGUCAGCGACCUGCAAUACCGUUAACUUGAUUAGUUCGCCUUGCAGCAGUGCCGCUCUUGCAGCCACAAGAGGAUUGCCUUUGCCUUGCUUUUUCGUAACUAGCAUGCUCAACGUGGCAAGUCUUGAAGCUUUCUUAAGUGGCCCUCCAGGUUGCUUCCACUCGCCCAUUUUUUUUUCACGAGCACACAGAAUGCAUGCGUCAAGGCAUUAAGGAAAUUUACUGACGACCACGUAUACCGUCUGCAUCAAAUUUUAUCCUCCUAACGAACCCUGUUGGGUGAUUUUUUAUUUCGUACUUCUAUUUCACUUACCUUCUGCCUUCGCAGAACACUUUAUUUGUCCCCUUAACACGCACUUUCGCUAGUUCAGUUUACAGAGUAGACGCGUAAAGAGUCUUGCAACUGACAUUAAUUAUUGUAGAUAAGUGCAUUUUUGAAAAUUGUUAUUGUGCCCAAUAAACGUACUGUCCUGUAUCAGGUACAACGUUUGAAUCGAA